CAUCGAACGUGCUGGGGCG
rnacentral:misc_RNA from 1 species